GCUGGGUGUUGUAGCGUGCUCCUGUAAUCCCAGCUACUCGGGAGGCUGAGGCGGGAGAAUCGCUUGAACCCAGGAGGCGGAGGCUGCAGUGAGCCGAGAUCGCGCCACUGCACUCCAGCUUGGGCGACAAAGCGAGACUCCGUCUCAA
rnacentral:SRP_RNA from 1 species